GCGCCUGUAGCUCAGUUGGAUAGAGCAUCUGCCUUCUAAGCAGGUUGUCGUGAGUUCGAAUCUCUCCAGGCGCA
rnacentral:tRNA from 1 species